GUAGGGAAUAUUGGGCAAUGGAUGCAAGUCUGACCCAGCCAUGCCGCGUGGAGGAAGAAGGUCCUCUGGAUUGUAAACUCCUUUUUUGGGGGAAGAAUAGUUCUCUUGCGAGGGAAUGUGACGGUACCCUAAGAAUAAGCCACGGCUAACUACGUGCCAGCAGCCGCGGUAAUACGUAGGUGGCAAGCGUUGUCCGGAUUUAUUGGGUUUAAAGGGUGCGUAGGUGGUUUGAUAAGUCAGUGGUGAAAGCUGGUUGCUCAACAAUCAAGUUGCCAUUGAUACGGUCGGACUUGAGAGAAGUGGAGGUUCAUGGAAUGGAUGGUGUAGCGGUGAAAUGCAUAGAUAUCAUCCAGAACGUCGAUUGCGAAGGCAGUGGGCUGUACUUUAUCUGACACUGAGGCACGAAAGUGUGGGGAUCAAACAGGAUUAGAUACCCUAGUAGUCC
rnacentral:rRNA from 1 species